rnacentral:rRNA from 1 species
UGGGGAAUUGUUCACAAUGGGCGCAAGCCUGAUGACGCAACGCCGCGCGGAGGAUGAAGGUCUUCGGAUUGUAAACUCCUGUUGCCCGGGACGAAAAGCUCCAACCUAAUACGUUGGUGUCUGACGGUACCGGGUGAGGAAGCCCCGGCUAACUCUGUGCCAGCAGCCGCGGUAAUACAGAGGGGGCAAGCGUUGUUCGGAAUUACUGGGCGUAAAGGGCGCGUAGGCGGCCUGCUAAGUCGAACGUGAAAUCCCCGGGCUCAACCCGGGAACUGCGUCCGAUACUGGUUGGCUUGAAUUCGGGAGAGGGAUGUGGAAUUCCAGGUGUAGCGGUGAAAUGCGUAGAUAUCUGGAGGAACACCGGUGGCGAAGGCGGCAUCCUGGACCGAUAUUGACGCUGAUGCGCGAAAGCCAGGGGAGCAAA